UACGGAGGGGGCUAUCGUUGUUCGGAAUUACUGGGCGUAAAGCGCACGUAGGCGGACUGUUAAGUCGGGGGUGAAAUCCCGGGGCUCGACCCCGGAACUGCCUUCGAUACUGGCAGUCUAGAGGACGGCAGAGGCUAGUGGAAUGGCGAGUGUAGAGGUGAAAUUCGUAGAUAUUCGCCAGAACACCAGUGGCGAAGGCGACUGGCUGGGCCCUUUCUGACGCUGAGGUGCGAAAGCGUGGGGAGAAAACAGG
rnacentral:rRNA from 1 species